GAUGAACGCUGGCGGCGUGCCUAAUACAUGCAAGUCGAGCGAACAGAUGAGAAGCUUGCUUCUCUGAUGUUAGCGGCGGACGGGUGAGUAACACGUGGGUAACCUACCUAUAAGACUGGGAUAACUCCGGGAAACCGGGGCUAAUACCGGAUAAUAUUUUGAACCGCGUGGUUCAAUAGUGAAAGACGGUUUCGGCUGUCACUUAUAGAUGGACCCGCGCCGUAUUAGCUAGUUGGUAAGGUAACGGCUUACCAAGGCGACGAUACGUAGCCGACCUGAGAGGGUGAUCGGCCACACUGGAACUGAGACACGGUCCAGACUCCUACGGGAGGCAGCAGUAGGGAAUCUUCCGCAAUGGGCGAAAGCCUGACGGAGCAACGCCGCGUGAGUGAUGAAGGUCUUCGGAUCGUAAAACUCUGUUGUUAGGGAAGAACAAAUUUGUUAGUAACUGAACAAGUCUUGACGGUACCUAACCAGAAAGCCACGGCUAACUACGUGCCAGCCGCCGCGGUAA
rnacentral:rRNA from 1 species